GUUACUGAACAUCAGCCAGAUGAAGACUCCAGUGAUGCAGACUGCCAGGAGCAGCAGCAGUCCUACAACACCUCCAAUAACAGGACCAGCAGGGAACUCUGAGGGAGAAACUGGAACCAAAACAAAACAUUCACAGUGCAUCAAGGGCAUGCCAAUGCAUUUUUGGACUUUCCCCGUCGUGACACACAGACAGUUUGGGAAUCCUGUGAGAGUUUUCUACUGAGGAAACUUAUUAUUGUCCAGGAUGUGCAGAGUUGUAAAUAUGAGUACAGCAGCUCAAUUAUACUGUCAAAAGCAGAUGAUGUCUCUUUCUAGGUGAAAUUAAUGUUACUGGACAUGUUGAUGUGAUGGUUUAAUUUGGCAUCACAAUAAUUCAUACAAUGAUCAUCUGCAGGUGAAAACCACCUUAGUGCUUCAGACCUCUGUGUGUCCAUCCUGUGUCUAUGUUGUACCUGUUCCCUGUCUUUGUUGUAUUACACCUUUUGUGUCUUUGUUAUUGUAAUACUAAAGCUUUGUUCUUUAUGUUUUUCAUCCUGUCAUCUUUGAGUUGAUCACCCUGUCCUCCCUGAAAGCUCUUGCUCUCUCCUGCAUGGUCACAUGUUUCCUCAGAUCAGCAA